rnacentral:rRNA from 1 species
GAGUUUGAUCAUGGCUCAGAGCGAACGCUGGCGGCAUGCUUAAUACAUGCAAGUCGAGCGGGAUUGGGUAGCAAUACCCAUGAGAGCGGCGCACGGGUGAGUAACGCGUACACGACCUACCUUUGACUGGGGGAUAGCCCUGGGAAACUGGGAUUAAUACCGCAUAUAAUUCUGGUUAAUAAAGGAUUGGAAUGAAAGUUCAGGCGGUCAGAGAUGGGUGUGCGUCUGAUUAGCUAGUUGGUGAGGUAACGGCUCACCAAGGCGAUGAUCAGUAGGGGGCGUGAGAGCGUGGUCCCCCACACGGGUACUGAGACACGGACCCGACUCCUACGGGAGGCAGCAGUAAGGAAUAUUGGUCAAUGGGCGAAAGCCUGAACCAGCCAUCCAGCGUGCAGGAAGAAGGCCCUAUGGGUUGUAAACUGCUUUUGUCAGGGAAUAAACCUGUGGAUUUAUCCGCAGCUGAAGGUACCUGAAGAAUAAGCACCGGCUAACUCCGUGCCAGCAGCCGCCGU